UAAGCUUCUAUAAAAAGGAUGAACCUACUGUCCAGUGUUGGCAGGAAAAAGAAGCUGAUGGCUCCGGCUGCCGUUAGGGAUCCACCCAACACGUAGAACGGAAGACCAUACCCUGAUAACUGAGAAAAAUGGUCAGAGAUUUGGUGCCACUGACCACCCCUGGACUUGCAUGUGAAAGUCCUGCCAGGGGCAAAUAAGAACUUGAUUACCUCCUCUGGAAAGAAUGGUCCCAGUAUAGAGAAGUUGGCAGCAGCACAGAAGUUACAGACAGCCAUCAUCAGGAGCAGGACCUUCUUAUCU